rnacentral:tRNA from 1 species
GCCCAAGUAGCUCAGUGGUAGAGCACUUCCUUGGUAAGGAAGAGGUCAUGGGUUCAAUCCCCAUCUUGGGCUCCA